AUGUGAAAUGAUGGUAACCGUCUUUCAGGAUUGACCUGAAAUGAAGAGCAUACCCAUUGCUGAUCACCU